rnacentral:tRNA from 1 species
GACCCCAUCGUCUAGCGGCCAAGGACGCCGGCUCUAUUCGAGUCGGAAACAGAGGUUCGAGUCCUCUUGGGGUCG